AUCCCUAGGUGACUCUAAUAACCA
rnacentral:siRNA from 1 species